rnacentral:rRNA from 1 species
CCCUUAGAUGUUCGGGGCCGCACGCGCGCUACACUGAAGGAAUCAGCACGUCUUUCUCCUUGUCCGAAAGGACUGGGUAACCCGCUGAACCUCCUUCGUGCUAGGGAUUGGGGCUUGUAAUUCUUCCCCAUGAACGAGGAAUUCCCAGUAAGCGCGAGUCAUAAGCUCGCGUUGAUUACGUCCCUGCCCUUUGUACACACCGCCCGUCGCUACUACCGAUUGGAUGGUUUAGUGAGAUCCUCGGACUGGUCCCGGCGCGGCCUCUGGUCGUGCCGGAGUGCCGAAAAGAAUGUCGAACUUGAUCAUCUAGAGGAAGUAAAAGUCGUAACA